GUGUGUAUGGUGUAAAUAACACAUUAGCUUUUCAUGUUAAAAAUAUAUCCUAUAUUACACAC
rnacentral:tRNA from 1 species